rnacentral:rRNA from 1 species
AGAGUUUGAUCCUGGCUCAGAAUCAACGCUGGCGGCGUGCCUAACACAUGCAAGUCGAACGCGAAAGCCCUUUCGGGGGUAAGUAGAGUGGCGUCCGGGUGAGUAACACGUAGGUAAUCUACCUCUGGGUGGGGAAUAACGUCUCGAAAGAGACGCUAAUACCGCAUAAUGCAGCGGCACCUAAUGGUGAAUGGUUGUUAAAGCGGGGGACCUUCGGGCCUCGCGCCUAGAGAGGAGCCUGCGGCAGAUUAGCUAGUUGGUGAGGUAAUGGCUCACCAAGGCUUCGAUCUGUAGCUGGUCUGAGAGGACGGCCAGCCACACUGGCACUGACACACGGGCCAGACUCCUACGGGAGGCAGCAGUGGGGAAUUUUGGGCAAUGGGCGAAAGCCUGACCCAGCAACGCCGCGUGAGGGAGGAAAUCCUUCGGGAUGUAAACCUCACAAGCAAGGGAAGAGCGCUCAGGAGUGAAUAUCUCCUGAGUCCGACGGUACCUUGCGUAAGCCACGGCUAACUACGUGCCAGCAGCCGCGGUAAUACGUAGGUGGCAAGCGUUGUUCGGAAUUAUUGGGCGUAAAGGGCGCGUAGGCGGUUUGUUAAGUCAGCUGUGAAAGCCCGGGGCUCAACCCCGGAGGGUCAGCUGAUACUGGCAGACUAGAGUACAGAAGAGAACUGGAAUUCCCGGUGUAGCGGUGAAAUGCGUAGAUAUCGGGAGGAACACCUGAGGCGAAGGCGGGUUACUGGGCUGAUACUGACGCUGAUGCGCGAAAGCCAGGGGAGCAAACGGGAUUAGAUACCCUAGUAGUCC